AUCUAUGGCCAUACCACUGUGAACAUACCUGAUUUCAUCUGAUCUCGGAAGCUAAGCAGGGUUGGGUCUGGUUAGUAUCUGGAUGGGAGAAAAAGAAAUGGCUUGGUA
rnacentral:rRNA from 1 species